GACGAACCGUGCGAACGUUGUUCGGAAUCACUGGGCUUAAAGGGCGCGUAGGCGGGCUGCCAAGUCUGGGGUGAAAUCCCACGGCUCAACCGUGGAACUGCCUCAGAUACUGGCGGCCUCGAGGGAGGUAGGGGCAUGCGGAACUAUGGGUGGAGCGGUGAAAUGCGUUGAUAUCCAUAGGAACUCCGGUGGCGAAGGCGGCGUGCUGGACCUCUUCUGACGCUGAGGCGCGAAAGCCAGGGGAGCAAACGGG
rnacentral:rRNA from 1 species